GGUAAAAUGGCUGAAUUAGGCGAUAAAUUGUAAAUUUAUUUAUGAGUGAUAUCUUUUACUA
rnacentral:tRNA from 1 species